CUACUACUCCCUCCGUUCCAAAUUACUCAUCGCAGAAAUGGAUGUAUCUAGAACUAAAAUACAUUUAGAUUUUUCUCUAAAAAAAUACAUUUAGAUACUUCCAUUUCUGCGACGAGUAAUUCGGAAUGGAGGGAGUAUGUC
rfam:Triticum aestivum genome assembly, contig: Triticum_aestivum_CS42_TGACv1_scaffold_570178_7AS